UUUUUUUGUAUAUUUUGAAGUCUAUGGUAAAUUUUUUUUUUUUUUAAAUCCCAUCCCUACCUUUAGUAUGUGACAAGACCCUUCAGUCCUAUACACGCCCCUUGGGUCAGAAAGAGUUUAAAAACCAACAGCUAGUCUUCAUUAUCUUCACUACCUCACUCCCUGCACAUAAGCCCAGAACUAGUCUGUAUGUACUUGAAGGAUCCUGUCAUACUGUUAUAUACAAAAGGGUGAAUUUUUUUUUUUUAUUUACUCAAAAAAACCAUUUAAAAACUUGAUGAAAGUAUUAUUACAUUAGAAAAUAGUUUGAGGUGACAGUUGAGCUUUAAAGGCACACUGCAAACUGGAAGUGAACUACAUUGUAUAAUGCAUUGCAUAGAUAAAUUAACAAUAUUUUUAUUACGGUACCCUCAGCAUCAAAUGCACAAACCGCCGUUUAGUGAAUCCUCCCCUCUCGCAAUAACACAGGCUUCAUUCGUAUCAAGUGCAAUCAUACGAACCGCAAGCAGGGGAACACUGUAAUCUCACGAAUGGGACCUGUACGGUAACUUCACUUCACGAGGUCCAAACUCACGAAUCGCCAAUAGUAGCCGAACACAUAUAUCUCCCAAGCGGCUAAUAAUCCCAUCCGGCAGUCUCUAGUCGUCGGUAAUAAAUCCCCCCAAUAAUGAGACCAAGCUCUGCAUUGAAAGUAAAACAUGAACUGGCUUUACUGUGGGCUACCUGCCCGUAUUUAUGCAGGUCUCCCACUUGGUGGACACUCCCCUACGGGACCAAAUGGGAGACUGUAACAAUAGACAGACAUAUGGCAGGUUAGGACCCACAGACGCAGAAUAUUCCCAGCAUGCAUUAUGAUUUCCUCCCCUCUGCCCUGGAGAUAAUUGAGAACUAAUUCAAUUAUCUCCAGGACAGAGGCAAAUCACCAUUUUAAAUUCAACACAAAAAACACAUAAAAAUAUAUAACUUUAUAAUUGUCGAACAUUUCCCAUUCGUAUCACAUAUCCCCAAAUAGCCUGGAUUUGAGUGCAUAUUAUUGGCGAAUAGCGCUCAGAUCCCAUACGUAUAAUUCAUUUGCCAUGGAGUAAAAGUCUAUUACAGUCGUUCGGUAUGCGAUUGACUCCAUGGGAAGGCUAUCUGGGUUAAGUCCAUUCGUGCGUUUAAAACUCCCGAACGGCCGGUGUUCGUAUACUUCUGUCGAUUGAGAAGGGAGGUCGGCGGCUUCAGCGGUGUUCGGCAGAAAAAGUGUCCGUUUUCAGUUCCAUGGAAUCAAUGCUGAGCACCGCUGGUCUUUCGCAUGGUUUAAAAUGGUCGCCACCUCGUGGUCGACAUACGAACGACGACCAUCCUGUAUUCGGUUUUAAUUGAGAAGUGUCUGCGGUUAACCACAACGUUCUAAUUGGGAUCAAGAGGUUAACCAGCAGCACACUUCUCUUCUGGGUGGCCGUCCGUUCGAUAGUUUGUUCGGCAAAAACUUCAAUUAUACGAAUAGAGGCAUACGAAUGAGUAAUUCCACGAAAACGGCAAAACAGACGAACCAGCAAUCCCAGGUUAUACAGAUGGAUCUGUCACAAUUUUCUUAAAGGAACAUGUAUAACGUUAGGAAUACAAAUUUAUAGUUACAGGUUAUACUGGUCCUGUCCCUAGUUGACUGAGUUUUACUUGCUCUGUGCUGCGGAAGCACCUCUAGUGGAUGUCAGUAUGGAGUAAACCUUCCACUGUAAACAUUGCAGUUUCUAAAAAACUACAAUAUUUCAUAUUGCAGGGUUAAGGGGACAGGGACACUACACCCAGACCACUUCAUUGAGAUGAAGUGGUCUGGGUGCCUAUAGUGUCCCUUUAACUCUAUUGUUGUAUUUUAAGAGGUAACCUAAAUAGCAUUUGGGUUGUUUUUUUUUGCUGCUGCUGCUAUUCAUGCUGCUUCUUUUUUAUGUAUUAUAUAUGAAAAACAGAUAUGAAUGUUGUAAAAUCAAAGACAUAAAAUGUAAGUAAUUGCCUGCGUUUUAAGUCUAGACCUGUGCAAAGUUAAUGUGAAAAAAGCUUACAUUCUAAAUGGUCAAAUUAGGCAAUUUUCAGCUGUUUACCAAAUAUUCAAAAGUUGUGUGAAAUAACAGCCUAGCAAACCAUUUCAUUGGUGCUGGUUUUAACAUAAUGUAAUAUAUAGGCAAAACUGCCAUAGUAUAACCUAUAAAUAUCUAAUAAAUGUGGGGGAAGAGUUAUCAUAGAACCCUCAUUUUGGGUGCAAAUCUUGAGAUAUUGUGUUGGUUUCAUGGUGAUUGAAACUGGUGAUUCUCCUUAUUUUGCACUUUGCCCCGGAAUAGCACCAGCUUUUCUUGCAAAAUCGCCUGUGUGAAAUGUAAAAUAUAUUUAGUACUUUUUUUAAAUGUAUAUUAUUUAAAUAUGCAGCUCUACUUCUUUUACUGGAUAUCCCAGUCUGGAAAUAUCCCACUGGGACACCCCAGGCAUGGAUUUGUAUUAAUGUGCAAACCAACACAGUGCUGCACUAUCAAAGGCCUUGCACAAAUCCUGCCUGCUACCUCACUCCUGAAGUACUCUGCUAUCAGACAUUGUUUCACACCUGCUAUUGUAAUUUGCAAAGUAAUAAUUUGAGUCUGCGGCCCACAACUCCCUUGCCAACCACUCUAUACUUGUGGCUUAGGGGACAAUUGUACACCUGCCAAACCCUCCCCUCCCCAUUACACUUGACAGUCCAGUGCUUCUAACUUUCCCCAUUAACCACAACCACAGCUUAUUUUUCAUCUUGGACUUUCUCCAGUUAUAAUGACCAUUAUACCUAAUAAUAUCCUGUCUUGCUAAAUAAGUCAACUUUUAUAAUUAAACAAAUUUUAGUUAAGGAGUUAUCAGACUUCUAUUUAAUUCAAAUAUGUUUAGCUGUGUGCCAUUGAGUGCCAGAGCCAAUUAUUAUUAUGGAGGGGAAUGUGGUAUUGUCCUUGGUAAUAGUUGGACAUUAAAGGAGUACUACAGGGACAGGAACACAAACAUGUAUUCCUGACCGUAUAGGGAUAAACCCACCAUCUAGCCACCCUGGUCCCCUCAUGCCUCCCUAAAUAAAGUAAAUCUUACUUGUAUUCAAGUCUGGAGCUGCAUGCUUUGUCCCUGUUUCCUUUAUACUUGCCUGCUGAAAUCAGCAGAAGUGGUAACCUGAUCCAAUCGCAAUACUUCCCCAUAGGAUUGACUGAGACUGACAAAGGGGCAGAUCAGGGGCAGAGCCAGCACAAUUCAAACACAGCCCUGGCCAAUCAGAAUCUCCUCAUAGAGAUGAAUUGAAUCAAUGAAUCUCUAUGAGGAAAGUUCAGUGUCUGCAUGCAGAGGGUGGAGACACUGAAUGUUUGGACGCAUUUUAGGCAGCCAUGACCCAGGAGGGAUCUCUAACAGACAUCUGAGGAGUGGCCAGUGAAGUUAUCACUAGGCUGUAAUGUAAACACCGCAUUUUCUCUGAAAAGAUCGUGUUUACAGCAAAAAGCCUGAAGGUAAUGAUUCUACUCACCAGAACAAAUUCAAUAAGCUGUAGUUGUUCUGGUGACUAUAGUGUCCCUUUAAACACAGUUGUUUUAAAAAAAAAAAAAAGUCACAAAUAAUGUUUAAGCAUUUUUGAGUUAAUGAAAUGAGCAUUAAAAAUGAGCAGUGUGUUGUUAUGCAAGAGAAAACAAGUCUUACAAUUGUUGGCUUCUCCCUUUUGAAACUUCACUAAGCAAUUUCAUGUGCAAAUUCAUUAUUGAAUCAGCUCAUAUGAAUUCAGAGUGAGGUUACAGAUGGGUGCAGUCAACUAUUUAUAAAUCAUUUUUUUCUUAAUCUAUUCAUGAAACGCAAGAACUAUUUGCUUGAUGUUGUUCUGCACGUAUAUAUUUUUGCACACUAUUUAUGGAUGCAUGUCUUCUGUGUAGGACAGAACUAUGUAGUUUAUCCACUAAACUAGGAACUGUGUAAAAUUGUCAGACAAAUGGUACAUUUUAGGCUACCAAAAUCAAAAUGGAAAAAUUCCCACUUCAACUAUUUUUCCUUCAAUGCAAAUUUGGUCCAGGAUUGGUAAUAAUUUUGUCAAAACAGAAUAAUCACAGAUUAAACACUAUCCAACCUUUGUAAAACAGUGUUAUUGGAAAACUCUAACUUUCAUUACACCUGGCUCCAGUCUGUUGAUCUUUUCUACUGAAUCCAUAGAUUCCAAGCAUUAAAUUUGUCUGCUGGUAUUAAGAGGUGCAGUGCCAUUUUACUUUUUCAGGCAAUAGGGCCUGAGAAUGCAGUUCAUGUUUUGCAAUAUAUACUUCUAUCACUUGUACAAAUAAGGAUAUGUGGAUAAACCAUUGUAAAAAUUGUAUUUUUGUAAGUUUUUUUGUUCCAAAAUUAUAAAUAUGAUGUAAAUGAUCAUUAACUAAGUAUAUUAUACACUAGAUACAAGUGUAUGCGUAUCUAAAACUAAUGUAAAUAUGUAUUACAUUUUAAAAUUUCAAACUUAUAUUAAAUCACUUAAUUGAGUUCAAGUUUUUUUCCCCUCAUCUCAAUUUAUUCAACGAACUCUACAUCCAACACAGAGAAUAGAACCACAAUUUUAUAUAUUUGUACUGUAUCUGUAAUUUGCAUAUUUGAUUAAUGUACCGACAUUAGG